rnacentral:rRNA from 1 species
GAUGAACGCUGGCGGCGUGCCUAAUACAUGCAAGUCGAGCGAACGGACGAGAAGCUUGCUUCUCUGAUGUUAGCGGCGGACGGGUGAGUAACACGUGGAUAACCUACCUAUAAGACUGGGAUAACUUCGGGAAACCGGAGCUAAUACCGGAUAAUAUUUUGAACCGCAUGGUUCAAAAGUAAAAGACGGUCUUUCUGUCACUUAUAGAUGGAUCCGCGCUGCAUUAGCUAGUUGGUAAGGUAACGGCUUACCAAGGCAACGAUGCAUAGCCGACCUGAGAGGGUGAUCGGCCACACUGGAACUGAGACACGGUCCAGACUCCUACGGGAGGCAGCAGUAGGGAAUCUUCCGCAAUGGGCGAAAGCCUGACGGAGCAACGCCGCGUGAGUGAUGAAGGUCUUCGGAUCGUAAAACUCUGUUAUUAGGGAAGAACAUAUGUGUAAGUAACUGUGCACAUCUUGACGGUACCUAAUCAGAAAGCCACGGCUAACUACGUG